UUACGGCCGUACCAAGUUGAAACACCGGUUCCCGUACGAUCACCGAAGUUAAACAAGUCUGGUUAAUACCUAGAUGGAUGAUCUCAUAGGAAUAUCAGGAGCAGUAA